rnacentral:rRNA from 1 species
CCUACGGGAGGCAGCAGUGAGGAAUAUUGGACAAUGGGCGCAAGCCUGAUCCAGCCAUGCCGCGUGCAGGAUGACGGUCCUAUGGAUUGUAAACUGCUUUUAUACGAGAAGAAACACUCCUUCGUGAAGGAGCUUGACGGUAUCGUAAGAAUAAGGAUCGGCUAACUCCGUGCCAGCAGCC